rnacentral:rRNA from 1 species
ACAUGCAGUCGAGGGGCAGCGGGGAGUAGCAAUACUUCGCCGGCGACCGGCGCACGGGUGAGUAACACGUGUGCAACCAACCCCGUACCGGGAGAUAACCCGCGGAAACGUGGACUAACAUCCCAUAACACUGUAUCAUCGCAUGGUGAUGCAUUUAAAAUUCCGGUGGUACGGGACGGGCACGCGCGACAUUAGGUAGUUGGCGGGGUAACGGCCCACCAAGCCGACGAUGUCUAGGGGUUCUGAGAGGAAGGUCCCCCACACUGGAACUGAGACACGGUCCAGACUCCUACGGGAGGCAGCAGUGAGGAAUAUUGGUCAAUGGGCGAGAGCCUGAACCAGCCAAGUCGCGUGAGGGAAGAAUGGUCUAUGGCCUGUAAACCUCUUUUGCCAGGGAAGAAUAAAUUGCACGCGUGCGAUCUUGCCAGUACCUGACGAAUAAGCAUCGGCUAACUCCGUGCCAGCAGCCGCGGUAAUACGGGGGAUGCGAGCGUUAUCCGGAUUUAUUGGGUUUAAAGGGCGCGUAGGCGGGACGCCAAGUCAGCGGUAAAAGACUGCAGCUAAACUGUAGCACGCCGUUGAAACUGGCGACCUCGAGACGAGACGAGGGAGGCGGAACAAGUGAAGUAGCGGUGAAAUGCUUAGAUAUCACUUGGAACCCCGAUAGCGAAGGCAGCUUCCCAGGCUCGAUCUGACGCUGAUGCGCGAGAGCGUGGGUAGCGAACAGGAUUAGAUACCCUGGUAGUCCACGCCGUAACGAUGCUCACUGGAUCUUGGCGAUACACUGCCAGGGUUCAAGCGAAAGUAUUAAGUGAGCCACCUGGGGAGUACGUCGGCAACGAUGAAACUCAAGGAAUUGACGGGGGCCCGCACAAGCGGAGGGACAUGUGGUUUAAUUCGAUGAUACGCGAGGAACCUUACC